AUUGAACGCUGGCGGCAGGCCUAACACAUGCAAGUCGAGCGAGCGGCGGACGGGGGAGUAAUGUCUGGGAAACCGCCUGAUGGAGGGGGAUAACUACUGGAAACGGUAGCUAAUACCGCAUACCAUCAGAUGUGCCCUGAUGGGAUUAGCUGGCGGGUGGGGUAACGGGUCACCUAGGGGACGAUCCCUAGCCGGUCUGAGAGGGUGACCAGCCACACUGGAACUGAGACACGGUCCAGACUCCUACGGGAGGCAGCAGUGGGGAAUAUUGGACAAUGGACGCAAGCCGGAUGCAGCCAUGCCGCGUGUGUGAAGAAGGCCUUCGGGUUGUAAAGCACUGUCAGCGGGGAAGCGUUACCCGCAGAAGAAGCACCGGCUAACUCCGUGCCAGCAGCCGCGGUAAUUC
rnacentral:rRNA from 1 species